GCCACCAUUCUGUGCCUCCAGGACCACGUGUCUGGGCCACGUGAGCAGGGCCACAUGGGCCUGUAUGCUGGGGCUGCAGGGCUCUGCUC
rnacentral:pre_miRNA from 14 species